rnacentral:tRNA from 1 species
AACCGCAUGGCCGAGUGGUAAGGCAGGGGACUGAAAAUCCUUUAUCCCAGUUCAAAUCCGGGUGUCGCUUG